GCCCAGACUCCUACGGGAGGCAGCAGUGAGGAAUAUUGGUCAAUGGGCGGGAGCCUGAACCAGCCAAGCCGCGUGAGGGAAGAAGGUACAGCGUAUCGUAAACCUCUUUUGUCAGGGAACAAAGGCGGGGACUAGUCCCCGGAUGAGGGUACCUGAAGAAAAAGCAUCGGCUAACUCCGUGCCAGCAGCCGCGGUAAUACGUAGGUGGCAAGCGUUAUCCGGAUUUACUGGGUGUAAAGGGCGUGUAGGCGGGGACGCAAGUCAGAUGUGAAAACCACGGGCUCAACCUGUGGCCUGCAUUUGAAACUGUGUUUCUUGAGUACUGGAGAGGCAGACGGAAUUCCUAGUGUAGCGGUGAAAUGCGUAGAUAUUAGGAGGAACACCAGUGGCGAAGGCGGCCUGCUGGACAUUAACUGACGCUGAGGCGCGAAAGCGUGGGGAGCAAACAGGAUUAGAUACCCCCGUAA
rnacentral:rRNA from 1 species